UACGGGGGGAGCAAGCGUUGUUCGGAUUUACUGGGCGUAAAGGGCGCGUAGGCGGCGUGACAAGUCACUUGUGAAAUCUCCGGGCUUAACCCGGAGCGGCCAAGUGAUACUGUCGUGCUAGAGUGCGGAAGGGGCUACUGGAAUUCUCGGUGUAGCGGUGAAAUGCGUAGAUAUCAGGAGGAACACCGAUGGCGAAGGCAGGUCUCUGGGCCACUACUGACGCUGAGAAGCGAAAGCGUGGGGAGCGAACAGG
rnacentral:rRNA from 1 species